rnacentral:rRNA from 1 species
GUACACUCCUGCGGGAGGCAGCAGUGGGGAAUUUUGGACAAUGGGCGAAAGCCUGAUCCAGCAAUGCCGCGUGUGUGAAGAAGGCCUUCGGGUUGUAAAGCACUUUUGUCCGGAAAGAAAUCCUUGGCUCUAAUACAGUCGGGGGAUGACGGUACCGGAAGAAUAAGCACCGGCUAACUACGUGCCAGCAGCCGCGGUAAUACGUAGGGUGCGAGCGUUAAUCGGAAUUACUGGGCGUAAAGCGUGCGCAGGCGGUUUGCUAAGACCGAUGUGAAAUCCCCGGGCUCAACCUGGGAACUGCAUUGGUGACUGGCAGGCUAGAGUAUGGCAGAGGGGGGUAGAAUUCCACGUGUAGCAGUGAAAUGCGUAGAGAUGUGGAGGAAUACCGAUGGCGAAGGCAGCCCCCUGGGCCAAUACUGACGCUCAUGCACGAAAGCGUGGGGAGCAAACAGGAUUAGAAACCCGUGUAGUCCCAUGA